UGUUGGGGGUCUUUGUUCAUCUCCCCAACUGGGGAAAAGCGGUGCUAUUCACUGCCCCUGCGUGACCCCGGGGUGGUGUAGUUCCCUGGUGAUCACCGUCUGCCUUGUCUCCUGUGAGAGCCCGCAGCCAGCUCUGCACACACCAGCCGUGUCCAUUCCUGCAGCUGACUCUGCCGGGGUCCAGCUCCCUCCUGCCCACAGGGGCACGUUCCCUCCAAGAGGCUGGACUUUGCCCCGUUCCCAUGAACCUUUCACAAGGAGCAAAGCCUUUCUUUACGUCUGCCUGUGACUUUCCUUCCUGAUUCCUUCCCCAAACGUGCAUGCGUCUUUCUCUAUUUCCUGUCCCUUGGGUUACGAACUCCCGAAGUGAAAAGAAAUAUACUGGAAGAACCAGAGUGUCUAGAGAGAAGGCUUUAGAAAGGACGGAUGGCUUCAGCACCCACCAGGGCAGGACAUCCCAGAUUCCAAGUAUUUUCAAUCUCUCCUCCAGAUAAAAGGAGCAAAUGCCAGCUGAAUGGGUGGCCAACUGCUUCUGUCUGCCAGCAGUCUCGAACUUACUUUGAAUAAGAGUGAUGCACCGAAACCCUUUGAAAUGUAUGACGUGCGCCCUGUUCUUCGUCAUGUCCACCAAAAGUUUAUAAACUUUGUGAUGCCACGUGUUCAAGCCACCCACAUCCUGGACCGGAGGAUUGAGUUUGAAUGAAACCAAAACUCCUGUUCAUCUCAAGCCAAAGACCGCGGCCACCUGGAUCCAUUAGGCGCGCUAAUACCUCUGGGGAACUCCACCUGCCAAUCCGGAAAAGCGGGGAAUCUGGAUCCGUCUUCAAACGCUGCUCCUGCCCCCGGCCAGGGCAGAGGGACGCUGGCUGAGGGCCAAAAGGCAGUGUAAGAGCCGUGGGGACGUGGUCCUGGAUGCACGAGGAAGAGCUGACCGUGUCGCGUUCCACGUCGCUGAGUCCUGCCGCGCGCCUCGUGGGCCGCCUGGGAGCCCUCGGCGCGCUGGGAAGCCGUGGGAAGAGGAGAGGAAGCUGGCGUUUGUCAGGAGCCCGAUUCUAAAAGGAGACCCUUUGACUUUUAUACCUUUGGUCUGAGAGUAUGGCGGGAACUAAGAGAAGAAGCGGAGGCAGAAAGGACUGAGCCGGUGG